UUUUUUCAUUUUCUUUUAAUCUUCCCAAACUAAUCCUUUAACAUGUGGAAAAGGAGGAGGAGGAGGAGGAAGAGGAGGAGGAGGAGGAGGAGGUUUAUAUAAGGAAGGAGGUCAGUGAGGAGGAAGUUUUUUUCUUUUAAUCUUCACAAGGAGGAGGAGGAGGAGGAGUUGGAGGAUCUAAGUGUCAUCCUCAAACGUCACUCUUGCUUGACUUGACUUGAGAAAAUCUGACGUAGAAAAUUGUUAGUUAAGAAGGUUAGGUUAGGUUAGGAGAGGAAAGGUAAGAAAGAGUAAGGGUAGGUAAAUUUAGGGGUAAGGUUAGGGUAGGGAAGAGAAGUUAGAUAGAUUUAGGGGAAGAAAUACAAGAUAAGGGUAGGAAAGAGAAAGGUUAGGUACGGUAAGGUUAGGGGAAGAAAGGUCAGGUUAGGGUACGGAAAGAAAAAGGUUAGGUAAGGUUAGGGGUAGAAAGGUAAGGUAAGGGUAGGAAAGAGAAAGGUUAGGGGAAGAAAGGUCAGGUUAGGGUAGGAAAGAAAAAAAAGGUUAGGUAAGGUUAGGGUAGGGAAGAGAAGUUAGAUAGAUUUAGGGGAAGAAAUGUAAGGUAAGGGUAGGAAAGAGAAAGGUUAGGGAAGAUUAGAGGAAGACAGGUCAGGUUUGGGUUGAAAAGAGAAGUUAGAUAGAUUUAGGGGAAGAAAUGUAAGGUAAGGGUAGGAAAGAGAAAGGUUAGGUAAGGUUAGGGGAAGAAAGGUCAGGUUAGGGUAGAAAAGAAAAAAAGGUUAGGUAAGGUUAGGUUAGCAAAGGGAAAGAUUUAGGUUAGAUUAGAUUCAGUAGCGGGCUUUUUCAUUUUUUCUCUUUUGCCCUUGAGCCAUUUCCUUUGCUGUAGAAAAAAGGUAAGGGUAGGGAAUUUGACGUAGCAGAUUGUUGGGUAAAAAGGUUUAGGUUACUUAGUUAGGUUAGAGGGAAGGUAAGGUAGUUAGGUAAGGUUAGGGUAGGGAAGAGAAAGACUUGGGUUAGGUUAGGUUAGGGUAGGGAAUUUGACGUAGCAGGAUGUUGGGUAAAAAGGGUUAGGUUAGUUAAAUUAGGUUAGGGGGAAGGUAAGGUAGUUAGGUAAGGUUAGGGUAGGGAAGAGAAAGACUUGGGUUAGGUUAGGUUAGGGUAGGGAAUUUGACGUAUUAGGUUGUUGGGUAAAAAGGGUUAGGUUAGUUAGUUAGGUUAGGGGGAAGGUAAGGUAGUUAGGUAAGGUUAGGGUAGGGAAGAGAAAGACUUGGGUUAGGUUAGGUAAGGAUAGGGAAUUUGACAUAGUUAGUCGUUGGGUGAAAAUCGUUAGUUAGGUUAGGUAAGGCUAGGGUAGGAAAGGUAAGGUAAGAUAAAGUUAAAAUAGGAAAGAGGAAGAUUUGGGCUAGGUUAAGUAAGGAUAGGGAAUUUGACAUAGUUUGUUGAGUACAAAAAAAAAAAAAAAAAAAAAGUUUCGUUAGGUUAGUUAGGUUAGGUUAGGGGAAGGAAAGGAAGGUUAAGGUAGCAAAGAGAAAGACUUGGGUUAGGUUUGGUAAGGGUAGGGAAUAUGGCGUACGGUAGUUAGGUUGUUGGGUAAAAGAGUUAGUCAGGUUAGGGAAGGUCAGGGGAGGUAAGGAAAGGUAAGGUUGGAAAGAGGAACAUUUGGGUUAGGUUAGGUAAGGGUAGGGAAUAUGACGUACGGUAGUUAGGUUGUUGGGUAAAAGAGUUAGUCAGGUUAGGGAAGGUCAGGGGAGGUAAUUUAAGGUAAUGACAGGGCAGGAUUUAAACUGAAAGAAGAAUUUGUGUUAGGCAAGGGAUGAGGAAGAGUAGGAAAAGGAAGAGGAAGAGGAGGAGGAAGAGGAAGUGUAGUCUAAAUGGUGGAGAGAGAGAGAGAGAGAGAGAGAGAGAGAGAGAGAGAACUGUGUGGAGGUAUGAAGAGAAGAAGAGGGUGAAGAAAGAGGUGAAAUGGGGUGUAGGGAAAGGUGUGUGUAUUUAUGGAAAGCUUUUUAUUUUGUAGGGGUGAAAAGAUGAAGGGGAGACUAAAGUAAAAGAUGAAGAGAGGUGAAGAUGGGGAGAUAGAGGAGGAGAAAGAGGAAAAAUUACACUAGGAAUAAUAAAAAUAAGAAUAAGAAGAAAAGAAGGAUAAUAAAGAAGGGGAGAGGAACUGGAAGAAGGGGUUGACAAAGAAUAGAAGAAAGAUAAAGGAAGAGAAGAGAGAAGGGCAGUGGAGAGGAAGAAAGAGAGAAGAGGAGGGAAGAAGAGAAGGGGGUGUUGGGAGAAGAUGGUGUGGUGGGGGGGUGUUUGGGUAAAGUUUUGGUGGGGGGGGGAUAAAGAUGGGGAGAAUAAAGGGGUCUAUUUUGUAUUGGAAGAGUAGUAAAGCGACUGGGGGGGAGAAUGGGGAAGGAGGGGGGAGAGGGUGAGGGGGUGAGGGGGUAAGCUGUUCACAUCCCUCCCUGUUUGUAUUCCUCUUCUUAUAAGGAAAUGCAAGAACGCUACCGAUCCCCCUUCCCCUCCCCUUCCUCCCCUCUCCCCCCCUCCAUCACCCCUCCCCCCACUAUCACUUCACCAUCCACUCUCUUUUAAACUAUCUACUACUUCUCCUCUUCCCUCCUCUUCUCUCUUUCUUCCUCUUUCCUCUCUUCCUCCUCUCCACUGCCCUUCUUUCUUCUUUUCCUUAAUCUUUCUUCUAUUCUGUCAACCCCUUCUUCCAGUUCCUCUCCUCUUCUUUUUUCCUUCUUCUUCUUUUCUUCUUCUUCUUAUUAUUAUUAGUGUUAUUUUUCAUCUUUCUCCUCCUCCAUCCUUCACCUUUCCUCUCCUUUAAACCUUUCUCUCCAUUCCCCUCCUCUCCUCUCCCCUCCAUUCCCCUCCCCUACCUUUCCCCUCCCCUUUCUUCCCCAAUUUAAGGGGAUGAGAAUGGUGAAUGAACACCCACCAUAUAUAUCAGAUGAUCGAUGUUUUAUUCCGCACGGCCACCCAGAGACUGGUUUGGAUGGG